AGAGUUUGAUCCUGGCUCAGGAUUAACGCUGGCGGUGUGUCUAAUACAUGCAAGUCGUGCGGCCCGCAAGGGCAGCGGCGAACGGGUGCGUAACGCGUUGGUACCUACCUCGAACUCAGGAAUACCUCGUCGAAAGACGAGUUAAUACCGGAUAGUCCCGCAAGGGUAAAGCUUCGGCGGUUCGAGAUGGGCCUGCGUCCUAUUAGCUAGUUGGUAAGGUAACUGCUUACCAAGGCGAUGAUGGGUAACUGGUCUGAGAGGACGAGCAGUCACAGGGGAACUGCGACCCGGUCCCCACUCCUACGGGAGGCAGCAGUAGGGAAUCUUCCGCAAUGGACGAAAGUCUGACGGAGCGACACCGCGUGAUCGAUGAAGGCCGAAAGGUUGUAAAGAUCUUUUCUGGGUGAAUAAUUCUGAA
rnacentral:rRNA from 1 species